rnacentral:rRNA from 1 species
ACUUAGUGUGAAUUGCAGAAUCCCAUGAAUCAUCGAGUUUUUUAACGCAAUUUGCGUCCGAGGCCUCGGUCGAGGGCACGUCUGUCUGGGCAUCG